rnacentral:rRNA from 1 species
UACGAAGGGGGCGAGCGUUGUUCGGAAUUACUGGGCGUAAAGGGCGCGUAGGCGGCCGAUCAAGUUAGAUGUGAAAGUCCUGGGCUUAACCUGGGGACUGCAUUUGAUACUGAUUGGCUUGAAUUCGGGAGAGGAUAGCGGAAUUCCCAGUGUAGAGGUGAAAUUCGUAGAUAUCGGGAGGAACACCAGUGGCGAAGGCGGCCUUCUGGACCAAUACUGACGCUCAUGCACGAAAGCGUGGGGAGCAAACAGG